GCUUAUAGAUAUAUACUCUAUUUUUUGUUACAAAGAAAAUAUAUCUAGUUGGCUUGUUCUUCUAUGAUCAUUGAAAAGCUUACACAUCAUCAGCCACAGGCAUAGUAUAUCGAUAAAGAAUUUGUGUCUUUUUUUUGUUUAGAUGAGGCACUAAAUGAUCCAAAGCUUAAUGCACCAAUAGAUGAACAAGGAUAUAAUAUAGUAAGCAAUGAUGAAGCAAGCGAUGAUUAACCAGAAGCAUGAGGACUCAGGAGGAGUGAUAGAGAGAAGCGAAAGCCCGAUAAGUACACUCCUCAAGGUUUGGAAUCAAAGGUUCGGGCUGUGACAAAGUGUGGAUUGGUUUGAUUAGUGUUAUGAUGUCCGAGCUUUGAACAUAUCCGUAUCUGGAAAAUCACCAACUUUUAUGAGUUGGCUAUCUCAACAGGCAUUGCUUCUCUAUUUUCAUACUGAUGUUGGAUUGGUUUGAUUAAUGUUAUGAUGUCUGAGUUUAUAGUAGGCUGUAACAGCAAUCUCAGUCUUGUAGGGAAUGGUUUAGUCAUACAAGAUGAAGCAUUUUGCAGAUAGACAACAAAAGGUAUGUCGAUCCAAGUGAUCCCACAAAGAUCUAUAUCCAGCAACCCGCUUCUGAAGGACAUAGACGUGAUACUUAUCAUUCUUGAUUUAAGAAAUCAAUAUGACAAAGUUCACUCAUCUGGUUAUAAUGUCAGCACACCAUGAUAAAUGUCUGUACUUUGAUCAAAGGCUAUAGAUCUCCAAGGAGUACAUGUUAAUGAUAUCCAUUUGAGCACAGAAACAUCAAACCUUGUAGCAGAUCAAUUCGGUGUUCAAUAUGCAGCCCAAGUGAUGUUAAUUGGGUCACUUAAGCCCAAAAGUGAAGAAAAUGCUACACGUGAAGUUUGCUUUUAAUUUAGAAGUUUGUUUUAGUUUUUUAGUUGUUUGAAUUUGUCAAUUCAGCAUAUUGCCUAUUAUUUAGCAAGUAGUGGGCAGUUUUAUUUUUCUGGUAUUUGUAUGCACGAUGGAAUGAAAGUGGCAGAUUCUUUUGGCUUAAGUUUAUUCA